UGAGAGUCGAGCGGAUGACAGGAGCUUGCUCCUGAAUUCAGCGGCGGACGGGUGAGUAAUGCCUAGGAAUCUGCCUGGUAGUGGGGGACAACGUUUCGAAAGGAACGCUAAUACCGCAUACGUCCUACGGGAGAAAGCAGGGGACCUUCGGGCCUUGCGCUAUCAGAUGAGCCUAGGUCGGAUUAGCUAGUUGGUGAGGUAAUGGCUCACCAAGGCGACGAUCCGUAACUGGUCUGAGAGGAUGAUCAGUCACACUGGAACUGAGACACGGUCCAGACUCCUACGGGAGGCAGCAGUGGGGAAUAUUGGACAAUGGGCGAAAGCCUGAUCCAGCCAUGCCGCGUGUGUGA
rnacentral:rRNA from 1 species